UUUUUCUUUUUCUUUUUCUUUUCUCUUUUUUUCUCUCUCUCUCUCUUCUUCUUCCGCCGUGCGCCGCAACCCCACAGUUUCCUUCUCCUCUUCUCUUCCGUUCGCAGCAGCCGCAACCCCACAGCUUCCUUCUUCUCUUCUCCUCUCCGUUCCGUCCAGAUCUGCACCGCAAGACCUUCAGCCGCUGCAACCGUCGGCCAGUUCGCGAGGCAGCCGUACGCGUCACCUUGCGGCCGCCGUCCAGAUCUGCACCGCAAGACCUUCCGCCGCUGCAGCCGUUGCUCUUCCGCCGCUGCCCGGUUCAGAUUUGCGUCGCCGUGCACAGCCUCACCGCCACCCUCUCUUUCUCCUUCGGAUCGAAACCGCCGCGCCCGUCCACCUGUAACUGCCGUUGCUCUUCCGCCGCUGCCCAGCCGUCUCAGCCGGUUCUGUCUCCGUCGAAGCCACGGUCCUGCAACCGUCUCCGCCGGUUCUGUCUCCGUCGAAGCCAAGGCCGCCGCGUGAACCAGUAACCGCCACGCUCCCCGCUGACAACCGCCGCUCCACCUGCUAUCGACGUCGGCCGACUAGUUGCUGUAACCAUUCAGAUUUGCUGUAACCGUUCAGAUUCGCGGUCUGUUCGCGACGGUCUCCAUCCGUGAAGAUCAGCUGCCACGUCCCCUUUGGCCGACCGCUGACCGACCCACACUUAGGAUUUUGUUGCGAGUUCGACAGUCGUGCGUUGAGGUGUUGGGAGUAACGUUAGGCUCCCUUACAUUCACAACCACAUUGUGAAUUAUUGAAGGUUCAGUUCGCCAUUAUAUCGGAUUGUUUUGAGGACGUUAUGGAUUAAGGAGCUUCCCUAACUUUAAGGCAAAGGUAAUAAAGGCGGCAAACCGGCGAGGGGCAGGAAGGAAGCGUGAUGCCAUAGGA